rnacentral:rRNA from 1 species
AAUGAUGAGUGGGAUUUACAGAGGCUGACUGGCCAUUUUCUUGAGCGGUGUCGGGCUACCGAUGGAAAAGCGUUAAUCAGAAUUACUGGGCGUAAAGAGCUCGUAGGCGGUUUUUUAAGUCAGAUGUGAAAUACCUAAGCUUAACUUAGGAAUUGCAUUUGAAACUAAAUUACUAGAGUUUUGUAGAGGGAGGUAGAAUUCUAGGUGUAGCGGUGAAAUGCGUAGAUAUCUAGAGGAAUACCUGUGGCGAAAGCGACCUCCUGGACAAAAACUGACGCUGAGGUGCGAAAGCGUGGGGAGCAAACAGGAUUAGAUACCCUGGUAGUCCAUGCUGUAAACGAUGUCGACUUGGAGGUUGUUUCCUUGAGAAGUGGCUUCCGAAGCUAACGCAUUAAGUCGACCGCCUGGGGAGUACGGCCGCAAGGCUAAAACUCAAAUGAAUUGACGGGGGCCCGCACAAGCGGUGGAGCAUGUGGUUUAAUUCGAUGCAACGCGAAGAACCUUACCUGGUCUUGACAUCCAUAAAAUUUUUUAGAGAUAAAAAAGUGCCUUUACCGGAAUUAUGAGACAGGUGCUGCAUGGCUGUCGUCAGCUCGUGUUGUGAAAUGUUGGGUUAAGUCCCGCAACGAGCGCAACCCUUGUUCUCUGUUGCCAUCAGGGUUAUGCUGGGAACUCAGAGGAGACUGCCGGUUAUAAGCUGGAGGAAGGUGGGGACGACGUCAAGUCAUCGUGGCCCUUACGACCAGGGCUACACACGUGCUACAAUGGCAUAUACAAAGAGAAGCAAAUCUGCGAAGACAAGCAAAACUCAUAAAGGUAU